CCAGAGACGCAAACGUUAGUCGUCAUUCACCGGCGUAAAGGGUUCGUAGGCGGCUUUAAGAUCUCUUUUUUUUAAAAUAGCACCCUUACAGGGUUAAGAAAAGAGACAAUUAAAGCUAGAAUCAUAAAGAGGUCAUAUUGAAUAAUUCUAAGACUAUAAGGGGUGAUAUCUUAAGAUACUUGGAGGAAUAUUAAAGGGCGAAGGCUUUUUUUCCAUAAAUGAUUGACGCUGAGGAACGAAGGGGAGGAGCGGGAACAGGAUGUGCGACUUGUAAAGUCUAAAUAUUGUAUUGUACUUUAAGUACAUUAUCUUUUGUCUGAUAAUAGCCAACCUAGACAUGCAAGAGCAGGCUUUGGGGCUUUGCCCUACCGUCUGUUAUCAGUAAUGAUUUUGUGUGAAGCUUUGGGGUAAAGUUAUUAAGAGGUUAUCUACCUUAAUAUUAAAGUAGGGUUAAAUUGCUUUUUAUGCUAAGCAGCGUAACACUUUAGUUUAAUAUUUAACGAAGGCUGAUUCCUAUGGUUAGGGAAACCGAACUUAUGUAUUUAAAGUAUAUUAAUUAGACAAGUAAUUGUCCUGGUUACUUGUAGGCAAACAUAUUAGUUAAUAUUACAAAGUAAGAACCUAAGAGAAUCUAUUGUACAUAUUUAGAAACAAGGUAAUGCCUAUAACCAGCAAUUGGAACCUACUAACACAUAGUGGUUUAAUUGCUAGCUUUAUCGCAAGGUAAUGUAUAUGGUUAGAGGUAAAAGGAUUUAGAAAAAAGCGAAUGCCAAUUGUUAAUUAAUUGGAUAGGGUUAAAAAUAACCUAACCUGAAAGGGUGCCAACUUUCUAAUGGUGCUAAUAAAAAAAAAUUUUUUUUUUUAACUUCUUUUUAAUGUAACUCCUAUUAUUGGUGUUUAUUUUAUUUUUACAUACUUACUUAUUUUUAUUUUUUUACUACUUAUUUUUUUAUUUAUUUACGCGUUUUAUAAUUACGUUAUUUUAAUUUUAUCUUUAAUUUAUAAAGGCAGUAGAAGCAAUUAAAGAAGAGAAGAUAAGACCGAUUCCGGCACCCGCUCCAAUUAAUCCGGAGCAAGCUAAACCUGCACCUAAGUAUUUUGCAGUUGGUAACUUUAAAAAAUAAAUUAAACGAUAACGUCUAUUAUAUAUUAAUAAAAAAAAAAUGAAUAACAAAAUAAAUAACAAAUUUAUUCCUUGAUUUAUAGGAUUUUGUGAUGCUGAGUGUAGUUUUAUAACAAAUUUAAAACCUAGAAAAAAUAAAAAUAACAUAAUUACAAGUUAUGGAAUAUUCUAUAGAAUACAAAUAGUGGCGUACGCCGCCCACAUAAAGGAUAAACCUAUACUAGAAUAUAUAAAUGAAAAUAUUGGAAAUAUUGGAACAAUUUAUAACUAUCCUGAUAAAGAAGAAAGUACAUUAUGUGUAAUAUCACAUGGUAACCUUAAUAAAAUAAUUGAUAAUAUAUUUUCAAAACACCCUUUAUUAACUAGUUACCAAGCAUCAAGAUAUGCAAAUUUAAAGAAAGGUCUUAAAGAACUAAUAAUAAAUGUUAAAUCGGCUGAAGAAUUUAAUUUAAUUUUUAAUUCUAAGAUAACUCCUAGCGUCCUUGGGGAAGAAAAUUGUUCUAAUUUUUAUUUAGACCAUUGGCUAGUAGGUUUUUUAAACGGUGAAGUUUCAUUUUUAAGAUUUAAAGGUAAAGCUGGUAACUUCAAACCAAAAGUUAGUUUAGAACAUACUGAUGAAUUAGCAUUAAAUUUUUUUAAAUCUCAUUUAUUAUUAGGUCCAAAAGUUCUUAAAUUAAAACAAAGAGAAAAUAGAAAAAUAACUUAUCGUAUAGAUAUUACAAGUGUAAAUGAUUUAAAUAAAAUAAUUGAAUUUUUAGAUCGUACUGAUUCUUUAAGAGGAAAUAAAUUAGAACAAUAUAAAGAAUGAAAAAAUAAUUAUUUUAAUCUAACCCCCUAAAACUUUAGUGGGAUAAGUCAAAAGGUUAUAUUGUAAAAAAAGUUAAAAAAAAAAAAUAAAAAGUUAGUGCUUGAGCCGUGUGCGGUGAAAGUCGCAUGCACGGUUCUUAGAGGGGGAAAGCUUGUGAAAGCCUACCUAUCUCAACUAGAUACCCAUUUACCCCUCUCUGUCAACGAUGAAUGGUAGUUUACCUGAAUAAAAAAUAGGUGGCAAAGCUAACGCGAUAACCAUUCCGCCAUGCGAGUACGAUUGCAAAGUUGAAAGCAAAAAAAUUA
rnacentral:rRNA from 1 species